rnacentral:tRNA from 1 species
CACUGAGAAGCUUUGCACCAGCGCUAGCCUUUUAAGCUAGAGACGGGGAAGUAGCCACCCCCUCAAUGA